rnacentral:rRNA from 1 species
GACGACUCUCGGCAACGGAUAUCUCGGCUCUCGCAUCGAUGAAAGAACGUAGCGAAAUGCGAUACUUGGUGUGAAUUGCAGAAUCCCGUGAACCAUCGAGUCUUUGAACGCAAGUUGCGCCCGAGGCCACUCGGCCGAGGGCACGCCUGCCUGGGCGUCACGCC